GACGAACGCUGGCGGCGUGCUUAACACAUGCAAGUCGAACGGAAAGGCCCUGCUUGCAGGGUACUCGAGUGGCGAACGGGUGAGUAACACGUGGGUGAUCUGCCCUGCACUUCGGGAUAAGCCUGGGAAACUGGGUCUAAUACCGGAUAGGAGCCAUUUUUAGUGUGAUGGUUGGAAAGUUUUUUCGGUGUAGGAUGAGCUCGCGGCCUAUCAGCUUGUUGGUGGGGUAAUGGCCUACCAAGGCGGCGACGGGUAGCCGGCCUGCGAGGGUGGACGGCCACAGUGGGACUGGGAUACGGCCCAGACUCCUACGGGAGGCAGCAGUGGGGAAUAUUGCACAAUGGGCGCAAGCCUGAUGCAGCGACGCCGCGUGGGGGAUGACGGCCUUCGGGUUGUAAACUCCUUUCGCUAGGGACGAAGCUUUUUGUGACGGUACCUAGAUAAGAAGCACCGGCUAACUACGUG
rnacentral:rRNA from 1 species